UAAAAGUGGGGUUCUGAAAGGGUUCACUGGC
rnacentral:piRNA from 1 species